UCUCCGUUGGUGAACCAGCGGAGGGAUCAUUACAGAGUUUUUAACUCCCAAACCCAUGUGAACUUACCAUUGUUGCCUCGGCGGAGCCUACCCUGUAGCUACCCUGUAACGGCCUACCCUGUAACGCACUGCCGGUGGACUUUUAAACUCUUGUUAUUUUAUUGUAAUCUGAGCGUCUUAUUUUAAUAAGUCAAAACUUUCAACAACGGAUCUCUUGGUUCUGGCAUCGAUGAAGAACGCAGC
rnacentral:misc_RNA from 1 species